UACAGAGGGUGCAAGCGUUGUUCGGAAUUAUUGGGCGUAAAGGGAGCGUAGGCGGGUGUUUAAGUUAGGUGUUUAAUCCUGGGGCCCAACCCCAGUCGUGCACCUAAAACUGGACAUCUUGAAUAGUGGAGAGGUCAGUGGAAUUGGGGGUGUAGCGGUGGGAUGCGUAGAGAUCCCCAAGAACACCAGUUGCGAAGGCGGCUGACUGGACACAUAUUGACGCUGAGGCUCGAAAGCAUGGGGAGCAAACAGG
rnacentral:rRNA from 1 species